GGGCUUUGCAACCUCGCGGACCUUGCCUAUAUUCGUUUCGUGCCGGUCGCACCGGCUAUGGCGAUAAACGACCAUCGUAAUAAACCUAUCGGACCCGGGGGCGGUACCCGGCGCCUCCACCACCAACGGUCUUCAGGACCGCUGCUGCUGGGGGCGAAACAGGAUCGACGAGGGCGUAAAGGGUGUGUUUUUGCUCGGCAUGGUACCGCCGUUAUCGGGCUCUUAAAAUAGUUGCCAAUGACAACUAUGCUCCGGUUGCUGUCGCCGCGUAAUGCGGUGCCGGUAAUGGAAAUCAAGUCCUAGGGGGUAGCACUUCUGGGCGGGGUUCGGAGGCACCUGGCAACAGAAGCCUCCACU
rnacentral:tmRNA from 1 species